GGCAGCAGAAACUUGAAACUAUGUGUUAGAGCUGGGGAGGAAUGUUCCUGGAUUUGCCACCAGAUCCAGAAACAACACUGUCUCUGAGUUUCAGGAGCCUUCUAACACAUUUGGCUAAAACCUUGGUCUGUCUUGCUGAAUUCACCUGACUAAUGCCACCGUUGAAAGACAGAUAAGAACACACGGAGAAUGUGACUUUCAGGGAAUGAAUAUGUGUCACGUUAUCAAGAUUGCUUCAUCAGCCCUUGGCUUUGUGCUCUGUGGACAUAAUCAAAGAAACACAAGGGGUCUGAUACCCAGGAAAGAUUCAUUGUCGUCAUCAUGGUCGUCGUCGUCGUCAUCAUCAUCAUCAUCAUCAUCAUCAUUGCAACAGGACUCGAAUUCUGAACAUGUGACUCCUGAUACCUGGGAAGCAAAG